rnacentral:miRNA from 1 species
UACCUGGGACAGAACCGCGGCCG